GGUGUUGUAGCUCAGUGGUACAGCAUGUGCCUAGUAAGUGUGAGGCACUGGGUUCGAUCCUCAGCACCA
rnacentral:tRNA from 1 species